rnacentral:lncRNA from 1 species
CAAACGUUUCUUCCGUCAAGUGGGCCCGAGACCACAAUUAAUUCCUCUAUCAUUUCUUUAUAACGUUUUGCCACUAUAUGUAAUGCUAAAAUUGAAAGAAAAAAAUGUUUUCGGUUUGUCGCUAAAAAAAAAAUAGAUUGUUCUUCGCCGAAGUCGACAAAAAAAAGUAGGCAUAGAAUAAAAAAAUAGCCCCCCAUUGAUUCAACAUUGCGAUUAAAUUGUAUGUCAUUCAUUUUUCUGUUUC